AUGGCAUCAAAAGUUCGAAUCGAUCGUAUGGCCUCUUUGAACGUAGCUCCAGUGCACACUACACUGUUGCUCAGCCUUAAAUCGUCGCCUACCACCAAGAAACACUCAUUCAUUGCAAUUUUCGAGGAGAAGUUAGAUUAUGAAAACUACCUAUUGUGGUGUUGGCAAGUAGAACCAGUAAUUAAAACACUCAAAUUCUAUUAUCCUAUUAUCCCUACAAAGUUUAACUCGGGCGUCGAUGCCACUACAAAUCGUGUCUCCCUUGAAUGCGAUGCUUGGGAACAAGAUCAAAUUCUAUUGGCAUGGCUUUGA